rnacentral:lncRNA from 1 species
UGCUAGCAGAACCACUGGAGAUCCUUCGGUGUCAGCAUCCUCAUAAUCAGCAGGCACCCCAUAAGAAAAAUUGAGAAGAUCAAUUUUGGAUGGUAUUCUUGCACGUGCUGAAAGUUUUUGAGGCAUAGAUCAGGUGACACGGGCAACUAUGUAAAGACUAGGCCACAGAAACUUGCGUUUCUGAAUGUUGCACCAUUUGUUCAGCCACGUUAAAAUGUGAGAAGCCUAGCCAUCUAAGA